rnacentral:rRNA from 1 species
UACGUAGGUGGCAAGGCGUUGUCCGGAAUUAUUGGGCGUAAAGCGCGCGCAGGCGGUUCUUUAAGUCUGAUGUGAAAGCCCACGGCUCAACCGUGGAGGGUCAUUGGAAACUGGAGAACUUGAGUACAGAAGAGGAAAGCGGAAUUCCACGUGUAGCGGUGAAAUGCGUAGAGAUGUGGAGGAACACCAGUGGCGAAGGCGGCUUUCUGGUCUGUAACUGACGCUGAGGCGCGAAAGCGUGGGGAGCAAACAGG